AAUCUACUUUUUGACCAUACCUAUAGGGUGUGAAAAAUUAAAAUAUGGUGGGCUUGGAUUUUAGACCUUAUGGGUUGGAACUGGGGAUAUAUAAUCUCAAGAAGUUGAUUAAACAUGGAAAGGGCACUUGUGAAAGAGAAAUAGGAGAAAGCAAUGGAGGGUGGAAAUAAGCGAUAUAUUUAAACAAAAACAGCAUUAUGAAACCCAUUGCUUUGUUCAAUAAGUAUACACUGAUAAAACAUUUCUUAAAUUCUGACACAGCUUUAACAGAUCCACAUGGUAAAUGAAAUUCUCAGGCCUUGCCAAGUACUGACAGGAAUUGAAAUGAGAUCUGGUCCCUUAUGAAAAAAACAUGUAUAAGUCGUCACGGAGACAGGCACAACAAAGCAAUAGCAAAGCUGGUCUCCUAAGGAUGUCUGCUGACGGUAUACCUAGAUAAGACCAGAAAGACCUGGUGGAGAUCUCAAUUAAAUGGAUUCCUUCAAUACAUCAACUCCUCUCCUCUGCCCCGCUUCCAAUUCGGCGAUGGAAGAGUCAGCAUCGAAGUUGACAGAAGCCAUUCAGGAGCCCA